CCUGCCAGUAGUCAUAUGCUUGUCUCAAAGAUUAAGCCAUGCAUGUCUCAGUACAAGCCGAAUUAAGGUGAAACCGCGAAAGGCUCAUUAAAUCAGUUAUGGUUCCUUAGAUCGUACCCACAUUUACUUGGAUAACUGUGGUAAUUCUAGAGCUAAUACAUGCAAACAGAGCUCCGACCGGAGACGGAAGGAGCGCUUUUAUUAGAUCAAAACCAAUCGGCGUCGGUCGCCUCGCGCGUCCGUCGUCGUUCGCCCUGGCGAAUCUGAAUAACUUUAAGCAGAUCGCACGGUCUCGCACCGGCGACGCAUCUUUCAAAUGUCUGCCUUAUCAACUGUCGAUGGUAGGUUCCGUGCCUACCAUGGUCGUAACGGGUAACGGGGAAUCAGGGUUCGAUUCCGGAGAGGGAGCCUGAGAAACGGCUACCACAUCCAAGGAAGGCAGCAGGCGCGCAAAUUACCCACUCCCGGCACGGGGAGGUAGUGACGAAAAAUAACGAUACGGGACUCAUCCGAGGCCCCGUAAUCGGAAUGAGCACACUCUAAACCCUUUAACGAGGAUCAAUUGGAGGGCAAGUCUGGUGCCAGCAGCCGCGGUAAUUCCAGCUCCAAUAGCGUAUAUUAAAGUUGUUGCGGUUAAAAAGCUCGUAGUCGAAUCUGUGUCCCGCGCCGCCGGUUCAUCGCUCGCGGUGUUUAACUGGCGUGUUCCGCGGGACGUCCUGCCGGUGGGCUUAGCCCGCGAGGGCGGCCCAACUUGCGAAUCCCGCCGCGGUGCUCUUCGCUGAGUGUCGAGGCGGGCCGGCACGUUUACUUUGAACAAAUUAGAGUGCUUAAAGCAGGCUAAAACUUCGCCUGAAUACCGUGUGCAUGGAAUAAUGGAAUAGGACCUCGGUUCUAUUUUGUUGGUUUUCGGAACCCCGAGGUAAUGAUUAAUAGGAACGGAUGGGGGCAUUCGUAUUGCGACGUUAGAGGUGAAAUUCUUGGAUCGUCGCAAGACGGACGGAAGCGAAAGCAUUUGCCAAAAACGCUUUCAUUGAUCAAGAACGAAAGUUAGAGGUUCGAAGGCGAUCAGAUACCGCCCUAGUUCUAACCAUAAACGAUGCCAGCUAGCGAUCCGCCGACGUUCCUCCGAUGACUCGGCGGGCAGCUUCCGGGAAACCAAAGCUUUUGGGUUCCGGGGGAAGUAUGGUUGCAAAGCUGAAACUUAAAGGAAUUGACGGAAGGGCACC
rnacentral:rRNA from 1 species